UACGAAGGGGGCUAGCGUUGCUCGGAAUCACUGGGCGUAAAGGGUGCGUAGGCGGGUCUUUAAGUCAGGGGUGAAAUCCUGGAGCUCAACUCCAGAACUGCCUUUGAUACUGAGGAUCUUGAGUUCGGGAGAGGUGAGUGGAACUGCGAGUGUAGAGGUGAAAUUCGUAGAUAUUCGGAGGAACACCGGUGGCGAAGGCGGCCACCUGGUCCGGCACUGACGCUGUAGCGCGAAAGCGUGGGGAGCAAACAGG
rnacentral:rRNA from 1 species